rnacentral:rRNA from 1 species
UACGUAGGGUGCGAGCGUUGUCCGGAAUUAUUGGGCGUAAAGGGCUCGUAGGCGGUUUGUCGCGUCGGGAGUGAAAACUCAGGGCUUAACCCUGAGCCUGCUUCCGAUACGGGCAGACUAGAGGUAUGCAGGGGAGGACGGAAUUCCUGGUGUAGCGGUGAAAUGCGCAGAUAUCAGGAGGAACACCGGUGGCGAAGGCGGUUCUCUGGGCAUUACCUGACGCUGAGGAGCGAAAGUGUGGGGAGCGAACAGG